AGCGAACGCUGGCGGCGUGCCUAACACACGCAAGUCGAACGCGAAAUCGGGGCAACUCGAGUGUAGCGUGGCGCACGGGUGAGUAACGCGUAGGUAAUCUGCCCUUCAGUGGGGGAUAACUUGUCGAAAGAUAAGCUAAUCCCGCAUACGUGAGCACCAUACUUUGGUGUUCAGAAAGGUGGCAGUCUUCGGAUUGCUAUCGCUGAUGGAUGAGCCUGCGUCAGGAUUAGCUAGUUGGUGGGGUAAUGGCCUACCAAGGCUACGAUCCGUAGCUGAUCUGAGAGGAUGAUCAGCCACACUGGAACUGAGACACGGUCCAGACUCCUACGGGAGGCAGCAGUGGGGAAUAUUGCGCAAUGGGCGAAAGCCUGACGCAGCGACGCCGCGUGAGGGAAGAAGGUCUUCGGAUUGUAAACCUCUGUCGAGAGGGAAGAAACAGCCCGGUGCUAAUAUCACCGGGCCUUGACGGUACCUCUAAAGGAAGCACCGGCUAACUCCGUGCCAGCAGCCGCCGUAA
rnacentral:rRNA from 1 species